rnacentral:rRNA from 1 species
GGAUGUGAUCAUACCAGUACUAUAGCACCGGAUCCCUUCAGAACUCCGAAGUUCAGCGUGCUUGGGUGAGAGUAGUACUAGGAUGGGUGACCUCCUGUUGCAUCCUUCUUUUUUGCCGCAC